AUGGACUCGCGGCCUAUCAGCUUGUUGGUGAGGUAAUGGCUCACCAAGGCGACGACGGGUAGCCGGCCUGAGAGGGCGACCGGCCACACUGGGACUGAGACACGGCCCAGACUCCGUACGGGGAGGCAGCAGGUGGGGAAUAUUGCACAAUGGGCGAAAGCCUGAUGCAGCGACGCCGCGUGAGGGAUGAAGGCCUUCGGGUUGUAAACCUCUUUCAGUAGGGAAGAAGCGCAAGUGACGGUACCUACAGAAGAAGCACCGGCUAACUACGUGCCAGCAGCCGCGGUAAUACGUAGGGUGCGAGCGUUGUCCGGAAUUAUUGGGCGUAAAGAGCUUGUAGGCGGUUUGUCGCGUCUGCCGUGAAAAUCCGGGGCUCAACUCCGGACUUGCGGUGGGUACGGGCAGACUAGAGUGUGGUAGGGGA
rnacentral:rRNA from 1 species